rnacentral:rRNA from 1 species
UACAGAGGUCUCAACCGUUGUUCGGAUUUAUUGGGCGUAAAGGGUGCGUAGGCGGUCGGGUAAGUCGGAUGUGAAAUCCCAGGGCUCAACCCUGGAACUGCAUUCGAUACUGCCUGGCUAGGGUACUGGAGAGGAGACUGGAAUUUACGGUGUAGCAGUGAAAUGCGUAGAUAUCGUAAGGAAGACCAGUGGCGAAGGUGAGUCUCUGGACAGUUACCGACGCUGAGGCACGAAGGUCAGGGGAGCAAACGGG